CCAAAUUCGCCAAAUUUAAUUUCCUUCCAUACGGUAUUCAUAGCAUCUCUUGUUACUAUCUAUCUGUGAAUAUCAUUAACAAAAAAAGAAAAAUGAUCGCGUUUUCUUUGUUAAUGAUAUUCAUAGCAAUUGACAUUAUAAAAGUUCAUCAUUGUAAAGCAUAAAGUCUAGAUAAAGAUGAUACUUUUGCUGCUAUUUAUAAUGUGGCUUAGAGAAGCAGGAGCUAUCAACUUGAUAGCAGCAGCUCUUCCUCGCCGACCGGUUCAAGAGACAGCUGUAGGAGCAGGUCCUGCAGCCAUCAUUGUUGGUGAUAAAAUCUGGUCUAAGAAUAAUGAAGAUGAUUGUUUCUUGGUGGAACCUGUGCAAGAAGUGGAAACAAAUUACUUUUACAGAAAAGAAGAAAUGGUUGUAGCGAGCUUUGCAAAGUAGAUCUACCCAAAAUGGCUCAACCCAAAACUGAACUGUGUUAUGUGACUCAAUUCCACUUACCACUAUACUUACACUUGUUUUUAUGAAUUUUAUUCUCUAUAUUGUAUAUAUAAGUUUUCUCUGUAUUGGACUAUUGUUUAUAUUUCCAUAUUUUAUUGUAUAAUUAUUUUGUUCAUCAUCUGUUUACUGGUCAAAAAUG